AUCACAGGCUAAACAACCUAACAGUGUCUUUGUUCUCUCUCUCUUGUGCGCUGAGAUGCCUAAUUUUGAAUUUCAUAGCGGCAGAUGAAGCUCGUCUCUGAUUGGAUAAUCGCGGGAGGAGAGCGGGAGAUGAACGAGUGAGGUCAAUAACGAGCGAGCCAGAACUGCGUUUAUUAGACAAAAAACAGGCCAAGCAGAAAUCUUCGGACCACUUUGUCAUUUCAAAGUCAUUUAAGUUUUUAAGACAAAUCUACGAUCUCAACACAAGUUUUUUUGGAGGAUCUGCUGCUGUUCAUCCAGAAAAUUGAAAGAUUGCACGGGACAUCUGCAGAGUGGCUGCUCAGAUGAUGUGAUAGAGAUGCUUCUGCUCAGCUACUUUGAGGAGGAGUCCAUGUUCCUCCAUGUAAAAGAUAAAAGUCUGGCAGAAGAGGUCCAACUGGAGCAAGUGCUUCUGACACCCACUGUUAUUGUCUGUCCUGCUAUUCCUCAACAAGGGACAUGCUGAGUCUGGAAUCAGAACCUAAUCAACACAAACAUGUCAUUCAUUUCUGCAUUGUGCCUCAUGUUUGGGAGCUACUACUGUUUUAAUAUCCAUUAUCCAUCUGAGCUGACUUCAACUCUGGAGUUUUUUCAAAGGCGUUUUCUCAAUAAACCAAGAAAAGGGAACCAAAGUACAGAAUAAAAACUCCAAGAAUCCUCUCAACUUGAACCCUCGAGUCUUCACCCUGAUACAGGAACUCUCCGAUCACGAGUGGCGUUAAGCCUAAAUAUGGACUCUUUCUGUUGACUCUGACUGUUUGUUUGAGAAGAGGUACUGUUUUCACUUUGUUAAAUCCACAAUGUGUAUUAUGGUUAAGGCACUAUGUAAUUAAAUUUUAAACUCUUAAUGGUGGUCUUCUGGAGUAUUUCAACUUGGAUUCAGUCAUAGUUAAAUAAAAAAUAAAUAAAAAAAAACACAUUACAUGUAGAUUUUUUGCAUCUUGUAUACGUUUGAAAAAAAAAGGGCCAAUUGUUUUAUGCCAUACUGAGUUGUUGUUGUGCUCCUGGCACUUUAAACUUGGUUAUAAAAUAACUUUUCAAACAUAGUUUAGCAUCGUUAUUUACAACUAUUUUGAUGGCUAUUAAAUACAUUUUGCAAAAGAUAUCUUCCUCUCUUGUCUUAUUUCAAGAUUUAUUUUUUUAAAUUUACCACAAUAUAACUUCAUUAUUACAGCAUAUUAUGGAUAUUUUAUGUAUAAUAUACAGGACAUCCCAAUUUCAAGCGCAAAGUUUUACUGUUGUUUUACCAGUUUAAAUUAGUUUUUUGUUUAUUUCCCUGUUUAUUUGAUCAUUUAUUGAUGCACAAUAAGCAAUUAUUACAGGUAAAAAAUACAGGAAAGUGUCUAUUUAUAUACAACAUUAUAAUUUUAAAUAAACAGCCGGAUGUAAAUUUAACUGAGCAAACUCGUCAGUUUAGCAUAGUAGUGACAUAGAUAUCACGGAAUCCCAAUGUUGAAUUCACAUGUUUAAAAUGUUACAUUUACUCAAACUUGUUCACUUCAGUGUAAGAAUGAUGUUAAUAUUACUGAAAUCCAAUGUUAAAUAUACAUGUUUAAAAUGUAAAAUUCACAUGUAACUCCGUAAGUAUGUUUACGGUUUGAUGUCAUUUUUACAGUAAUGUUCUGGUAACCACAGCUGCCGGUAUUUUUCCGUAGAAACAACGGGAUUUUUUUUACAGUGUUAAACUUUUGUUUGUUGUGUAAUACUAAAACCCAUAUUAAUUCACAGUAAAUGCUCCAAAUCAAUCAGUCAAACUCAAACAUCAAACAUCUCCUUUGAUUAUGUAUUUGAAAUGUAUUUGUAUUUGAAAAUGAGGUAUGAUGUGCUGGCCGUCUAAUAAAGAAAACAGUUCAUAAAUCUGAUGUCAAAGUCUCCCUGCGCUGUUCCAUAAAAACAACAGACAUGACUUACACUAUGUUCGUAAAUGUAGUUUUUAAGCUCAUACAUAUUACAGUAUGUAACAUUAUUGUUAAAGUCUCUAAAACAGUAAAAUUGCACAAUUGUGCUUCAAAGAUUUUGAGUAAAGUGCAGUUUUAUUGAUUUAUCUGUGGUUAUUACUACUAAAGCAGUACAUUUCUUAAUUGACUUCAUUUUUAUAAAGUAAUAUAACAAUAUUACAAUACAUAAUUAAUCCAUUAAUGUAAUAAUAAUCAUAAUAAGUAUGUUGCAGAGUCAAGUGUGGCAGUGU